GGAAUAUUGCGCAAUGGGGGCAACCCUGACGCAGCAACGCCGCGUGCGGGACGAAGGCACUCGUGUCGUAAACCGCUUUCAGCAGGGAAGACAUCGACGGUACCUGCAGAAGAAGCCCCGGCUAACUACGUGCCAGCAGCCGCGGUAACACGUAGGGGGCGAGCGUUAUCCGGAUUCAUUGGGCGUAAAGCGCGCGCAGGCGGCCGCCUAAGCGGGACCUCUAACCCUGGGGCUCAACCUCAGGCCGGGUCCCGGACUGGGCGGCUCGGGUGCGGUAGGGGCAGGCGGAAUUCCCGGUGUAGCGGUGGAAUGCGCAGAUAUCGGGAAGAACACCGACGGCGAAGGCAGCCUGCUGGGCCGACACCGACGCUGAGGCGCGAAAGCCGGGGGAGCGAACA
rnacentral:rRNA from 1 species